UACGUAGGGUGCAAGCGUUGUCCGGAAUUAUUGGGCGUAAAGAGCUCGUAGGCGGAUUGUUAAGUCGGGGGUGAAAUCCUGGAGCUCAACUUCAGAAUUGCCUUCGAUACUGGCUUUCUAGAGGCUGGAAGAGGUUAGUGGAAUUCCCAGUGUAGAGGUGAAAUUCGUAGAUAUUGGGAAGAACACCAGUGGCGAAGGCGGCUAACUGGUCCAGAUCUGACGCUGAGGUGCGAAAGCGUGGGGAGCAAACAGG
rnacentral:rRNA from 1 species